GGCUCCGUUGCUGCCUCCGCCUCCCCAAACCUCUCCAGGACCUUCUCCAGGUCCGCCGCCGCCACGGCCACAUCGCUCAGUCCUAGCGGCGCCGCAGCAGCUGCCGCAGGGCCGAGGCCUGAGAAGGAACCUGUUUCAGUAGAGGCACGGGGCACUUGACCAUUUUGGUAAUAUGUACCACUAGCAGUUUAACCCAAGGUAAGUCUUUCUGAUUAUAAAAUUUUUCCAGAUGUUUGAGCAAUAAUGCAUUGUUCUGAUUUCCGAGAUUCACAACACCUAGCCCACCUUUGGAUUUGGGUUUGCACACCUUAUUCCAUGCUACUAAGGGUUUGGUUUUUGCAUUAAUAUCAGACCUUUUUCAUAGGCAGUGCCUCCUUGCUCUAUCUAUGUAUUUAAUCACCGUAACUGGAAUUUUCAGGGUACACAUUGUGUAAGUUGGGAGAGAAGAGAUGGUAGAGUUGGUUAGUUGCAAUUUGCUAGCAUGAGAGAGAAGUGAUGAUGUGGAGUUUAACCUUCUUUCAGUCUGAUUUAUGAGAGAGCAUAGUCUUCAACUCUAGGUUUUGUAGUUCCAAGGGGCAUACCUAAAUAAGUAAAGGGUAGGGUACCCAAUUUACAACAAAAAAUAACAGCCAUACACUUUGCAUUUUCUUGGCUAAGAUUCAAUGGUAUGAGACAAGACUUUGAGUAAUUAACUUUUAGUCCAGAUGAUUGAGUGAAAGAUUACAUGAUUCCUUUAAGACAAAAUAAUUCCAUUUGAGAGGCCUUCAAAAAUAAAUUAUGUCAUCUGCAUACUGAAUAAUAGAAAAAUUAUUUGUGCCCACAAUAGGAAUUGGGAGGCUGAAAAGGCCUUUCUUGUGAGCCUGGUUAAUGAUGCAUUGAAGCAGCUCAGAAACUAGAAAAAAUAGAAGAGACGACAAAAGAUCACCCUAUCUUACUUCCCUUUUACAAUGAAAGAAUUUUCCAGAGACACUAUUAAGGAGAAUAGCUGAUGUACCAGAGUCUAGAAUUCUUUGAGUCCAAUCUAGCCAUUUGUCAUUGUAUCCAAGCUGACAAAGCAUAUUUAAAAUAGUGCAAUGUUUAAUAGUAUCAAAAGCUUUUUCAAAAUUCAAUUUUAGAACCACAAUCUCUCUUUGAAUGUUGACAUUGAUAUAUAUACUCAAAAGCCCAUGCCAGACUGUAUUUUAUAAAACCAUAUUGAUUUUGAUGGAUGAUUGAAAUAAUUACUGACUGUAGCUAUUUGCUAUUUGCUUGGUGAGCAGUUUCAGAAUACAAUUCAUUAAGGAGAUAACCUGAAAUUGUGUACCCUUAUCCCAAUUGAAUUAUUAUUUUUUGGAAUAAGAGUAAUAAAGGAACUGUUGAUGGCCUGCAAGCUAAGUUUGCCAUUGAAAAAAAUCAUUGCAUAGUGCAUAAAAGUCUUCUUUGAUGAUGUAUUAGCAGCUCUUGAGGAAAAUCCAUUGAACCCGUCUGGUCCAGAAGAUUUAUUAUUGGGUAUUUGAUAUAUAACUGUCAAUUUCAUUAUUACUAAAGGGUUUAGAUAGAUGUUCUAAGUUCUCAUGCUUCACCAUAAGAACAUCUAGAUUGAAGUGCAUCAUUGGGCUGGAGGAGGUUCCCAUUCUAGCUAUGUAAGCUUAAAAAAGAAUUGCAGCUUUUCCUAAAUGGUUAGUCACCAUUCUCCUAUCAUGAGAUUCUAAGCUUGUGAUUGUAUUAUGUCUGAAUCUCUCAGUAGUAGCAACAUGGAAAAAUUGUGUACUUUCAUCCCCAAAUUAUCUAUCUAGUAGUAUACCUCUUCCUCCAAUAUUCUUUCUUAUACUGCAGUAAUCUGAUGAUAUGAUUCUUAAGAAUUGAUCCAAAGUUUCUUUCCUGAAGGAAAAGAUGCCUUUGAUCUUCAAGCUUGUCCAAAAUUUUCAAAAUUGAAUUGCAUUCUUUUAUCAGAUUAUUAUGCUUAGAAAUUCCUUUGCUCCACCUUUUCAAGGCUCUUCUCAAAAAUUUGAAUUUUGCUGAAAUUUUGAUAGCAUUGUUACUUGUUCUCACUUCAGAGUUCCAAAUUCUUUCCACGGUCUCAUAGAAACCUGGGUGGUCAAUCCAAAAGUUCUCAAAUCUAAAAAUUAGAGCUUUGGGAAUGGAAGUGCCUAUUUGCACCAUGCAAGGGAUGUGAUCAGACAAAGGCUUAGCAAGAGGCAGAAGCAGAGUGUAUGGAAAGUUAGAAGACCAAUUAACUAAGGUGAAGCACCAAUCUAACUGCUCUAACAAAGGGUUGUCUUGCAUAUUACUCUAAGUGUAUUUUCUCCCUUUGAGAGGCACUUCGAUUACACCCAAGUUGCUAAUAAUAUUAUUGAAGAUGAAGAUCUCGUUCAGGUUUCCUCCAUCUCUAUUCCUGUCAGUUGGAGCUCUAUAGAAAUUAAUAUCCCCAAUGAACAUGCAAUUUUGGGAAUCAUCAAUACUAAUAUUGUUCAUCCAAUUGAUGAAAUCAUCUCUUUUUAGCCCUUGACAGGGCCCAUAGACUAUAAUAAGAGUUCAAGUAGAUCCACUGUGAUUUGAGGUGAAAUUAAUUGUGAUGGCAAAUCUUGAGAUUUCUACUAUCUCACUAGCAAAGAUAGAGCUGUUCCAACCCAUAAGAAGACCACCAGAGGCACCCCUAGAUGGAGAGUAAGCGAAUUUAUCAAAAUUUUUAGGGGCCAGUGUCUUAAUGAAAGAGUGGUCAAAAUGCUCUCUUUUUGUUUCCUGAAUACAAUAAAUCACACAAGCACUUUCCUCGAUCUUAGACUUGACGACAUUGCAUUUGUCUUCUGAGUUGAUACCUCUAAUGUUCUAGUUUAGAAUAUUCCAGCUUCGUUUAGAGUGAUUAUCCAUGAAAACAAUCCAAUAUGAGACAGUCCUUUAAUUAUCUAGCAAAACAAGAUAUCGGAAUAAACUGAAUGCCACUAUUUUAGAAUAUUAAUAUAUUUCAGAGAAAUUUUCCAAUACCACAAAUCACACAAGUAUAACAUCUCAGAAAAUGGAGACCAAAUCAAAAGGGGCAAGAAAGGAACCCACUUAAAGCAAAUGUUAUAGUUCAGAUCAUAAUGUAGAUUAAUGUUCCUUGUCCAACGAUAGGUGAAAGAAACCCAUAAACCAUGUACCAUAGGUAACCAUUCAGUACACCCCUCAUCACAAGAACUGACAGAGUGAUGAAAACAACAAAAUAAGGCAGGGCAUCUCCUGUUGGACACAAAAUCUAAUAUUUUUAUCCAUGGCUGACUAUAUCAGUAAGCUGGGUGCUGCUUCCUUCAGUCAUGAUCAUGUCCUGGUCACUUCUUGUACUUGGUUCCCCACAUGUAGCCUCCUCCAUUCUUGCCACGAGAAGCUCUCCUAUUAUCUCCAAAGGAGAUAAGUUGCAUCUUUCUAAAGCCACCAACUGGGUUUGCAAUAUUGGAAUCCCAGGAUAAGUCAAACCCAUUUUGCUAUAAUCUUCUAACACUGCUAAUCUAGGAAAAUCAACUGCAGAAUUGAAACUAUUUUGAAGGGAGUUAGCAUCAAAGAGGCUUUUUUGGGGGGAUUCUUUUGAAAUUUGCCCUGCUUCUUAUGGCCCUCUUUUGAUUAUCAUUAUUUUGGCCUGCCUUAUGUCCAUCAAGCAUGUUCUGAAAUCUUUUACUUCUCCUCUGUCAGUUAUCAGAGUAACAGCUCUCUUUCUUGCCUUUGACACACCAGGUCGUUUUGUAGCAGUUUCUUCUUGAACAUAUUCUUCAUUAGAUUCUGGGAAGAUGUGAUCCUCAACUGUAUUAACUUGCUUACCAUCCUUCUUAUUCUUGUAUUUUUUCCUAUAAAAACUCUAGUGAUUACUGGCUUGUCAGAAUAGAUGUCCUUGAUUUCAAACGGAGGUUGUGAAGAUUCUGAGCUUUCUAUCUAUGUCGGGUGAAGAGGAUUGUUGAUUCUUGAGCUUGCUUUUAUGAGAUCAUCCUAGCUUACUUAUGUUAUCUUCUGGACCUCUGUCCGAGUACGGGUCAUGAAGGUUUCCUGAGCUUCAGAUAGAGUAGAGAGGCUUGCACAAAAGGAGUAGCUGAUGAAGAUGGCUGAUUAAAAGAAUUUGCUUCAGAAACUUGAUCAAUCGGCAUUGUUGAGUCUGGUUGUGGAUUUCUUCAUGUCCAAAAGGCUGAUAAGCCAAUUGAGUCACAACUUCAUGUUCUAAUGGAAGGAUGGGACCUUUGAAUGGAUGAGAAUUGCCAUUGUUGGCAGGAGGAUCAUCCUCAUCUGAGGGUACAAAAUCAGCCAUCACAGUGUUGAAGAUAUAGACCGGAAAGGUCCAAGAUCUACCAUCCCCAUCUAGCUCUCUGCCAAGCUUGAUGACCAUGCUUCUAGGGAUUUAUAGGGGAUCAUCUAUCAAUACUUCAACUAAGACCUAAGCCGAACUACGAUAAGAGGAAUGCCAGUGUAGCAGUUUCAAACUUGCUGAAUAAAAUGUAGUUCUUUAAAGUCAAGAGGAUAGCCUAGAAAUAUAAUCCACCCUUUCAUAGCAGAAAGGGAUUUCUUGUGAUUCUUAGGGUUUGUUUGUUUAGGCUUAUGUUUUUAGUCUUAUAUGAAAAGUUGUGUUUUUGCUUGUCUAAAAAGCUACUUUUGUAAAUAGGCUGUUAGUUUCUAUAACAGUUUUUAACUUCUCAACACAUAGCUUCUCAGAAAA